GACGUAGGGCGCGAGCGUUGUCCGGAUUUAUUGGGCGUAAAGAGCUCGUAGGCGGUUUGUCGCGUCGGCUGUGAAAGCCCGGGGCUCAACUCCGGUUCUGCAGUGGGUACGGGCAGACUAGAGUGCAGUAGGGGAGACUGGAAUUCCUGGUGUAGCGGUGAAAUGCGCAGAUAUCAGGAGGAACACCGAUGGCGAAGGCAGGUCUCUGGGCUGUAACUGACGCUGAGGAGCGAAAGCAUGGGGAGCGAACAGG
rnacentral:rRNA from 1 species